GCAUGGGCAGACCUGCAUGUGAAAGCCAAAGUUUCUGAAAUAAACUGUUCUUAUUUCUUUCUAGACGAUUCUGCCAUUUCACAUCCAGUGGCUGAUCAAGAGAGGUUCCGGAAGAGAAAAGAGCGUUUUGGAGCUGUGCUGGACACGGUGGCCAUCCUGGAUGAGCAGGUAAAGAAAAAGAUGCGAGUGGAGCGCUUUGGGAUGGCGGACGGCGUGUACUAAAUGGCUCUUCAUCCCGACUGUGCUUGAGGCGCUCUUGGAGUGUCGUCUUUGUUUGCUUGGCCGUUUGCUCCCGUUUAGGCUCUUUGAUUUUCUUGAAUCAUUUGGGUCCUCGUUCUGUUGCUAACACUGUGGCCCAUUUUGAGUGGGGAUGUCACAAAAUAAAGGAGUGUGCAAAGUCUUUCACAUUUUCAUUCCCAUCUAUGUCACAGAAGUGAGGAGCUAUGACAAAAGCGAAGAGGCCAGAGUGCCCAUUCUAGAAGGUUCAACUUAUCUGCCCAACGUCCCACACAAGGAUUCGGAGGUCUGCUUGUGCCUUUAACUCCACAGUGGAGCUCAGUACAUGGAGGGCGAAACUGGUGACGUGUUGAGUGAAGAAGAAUAUAAGAAGAUAAUUCUGAGGACAGCAGGCUGCUCAGCUGAUGGUGGCCAACUGCCAUCCCUUCUCACAGCUGUGCCCUCAUUCCCAGUGUCCAUCUUUAGACUUUUAUCAAAUCUCGCUGCACAGUUGUGUUUGACAUUUCACUGAGAGGCUGUGACACCGCACAGCACAGGACGUUUACAUAGUUUGGGUGACGGACAGCGCGAGGACCCUCAGGUCGUUCUUUCACUGUUCUUUGCUUUGAUUAUCCUGGCCAUUCUGAUAACAUUCUCUCUUUGUGUGCGGUUUCAUUCCAUUGUAAAUCCAUAUUUUAUAUUUAUGCUGAAGUUGUAUUGGCACAGUUUAAAGAUUCACAAGUAUAGGGGUCUUUGUAGCCACCUGCUUUCUGAGAGGGGCUGCCAGUCAGUCCUUCACAAAGAACACUCACACCGAGCCCAUGCC